UACGUAGGGGGCUAGCGUUGUCCGGAAUCAUUGGGCGUAAAGAGCGUGUAGGCGGCCCGAUAAGUCUGCUGUGAAAGUCCAGGGCUCAACCCUGGAAGGCCGGUGGAAACUGUCGGGCUAGAGUCCGGAAGAGGCGAGUGGAAUUCCCGGUGUAGCGGUGAAAUGCGCAGAUAUCGGGAGGAACACCAAUGGCGAAGGCAGCUCGCUGGGACGGUACUGACGCUGAGACGCGAAAGCGUGGGGAGCAAACAGG
rnacentral:rRNA from 1 species